AUUGCAUUUCUUUGGAAUGACCACAGCAGUUUUCCAGCCCUUGAUGAUGUUCUAGAACUUUGCCACUUCGCUGCAUCAGGAGGAAAGUGCUUUGAAUCAGUGGAUUUAUAAUAUUUUUGACAUCUAAUAAUGGAUGGAAAAAAGUGGAUGUUGGCAUCAUUUCUACCACAGCAACAAGAGCAAAGAUGGACUCCAGAAAGUCAAAACAUCAAGGAAUAUUUGCCAUUUCUUUAGGAAUCUCAUGAUUUUCCCUUUUUGGAACUUCUGUCAACAUGUAAGUGGAUGGUGCAUUUAUUUAAGAUCACUGGUAAAUCUUAGUAAUAUUUCAUCUCCACUACUGAAAAUAACAACGGUUUUUUUUAUUUCAUAUGAUUCUAUGAGGCUUCUGGAUGGUUCUUCUGCUACAUGUUGUGUCGGCUGGGGUUCCUCAGGUAGGUUUGUUCACUUGGCAGAUGGUCUAGCAUGCAAGAUCAUCUGCACCUGUCUCAUGUCUGGGACUGCGGUGUUGACUGUUGGUUGGGGUGACUCAGUUAUCCUCCAUGUGGCCUUUGUCUUCUGGUAG
rnacentral:lncRNA from 10 species